rnacentral:rRNA from 1 species
GAUAAACGCUGGCGGCGUGCAUAACACAUGCAAGUCGAACGAUGAAGCUUAAAUGAUCUCUUCGGAGUGACUUUAAGUGGAUUAGUGGCGGACGGGUGAGUAACGCGUGAGUAACCUGCCUUGCACAAGGGGAUAGCCGUUGGAAACGACGAAUAAUACCCUAUGAUAUGAUAGCCUCGCAUGAAGCUAUCAUCAAAGAUUUAUCGGUGUAAGAUGGACUCGCGUCUGAUUAGCUAGUUGGUGGGGUAACAGCUCACCAAGGCAACGAUCAGUAGCCGGCUUGAGAGAGUGUACGGCCACAUUGGGACUGAGACACGGCCCAGACUCCUACGGGAGGCAGCAGUGGGGAAUUUUGCACAAUGGGGGCAACCCUGAUGCAGCGACGCCGCGUGAUUUAGAAGGCCUUCGGGUUGUAAAAAUCUUUUGUAUGGGAAGAAAAUGACAGUACCAUACGAAUAAGGACCGGCUAAUUACGUGCCAGCCGCCGCCGUAACAC